rnacentral:tRNA from 1 species
GCACCCGUAGCUCAGUUGGAUUAGAGUACAACACUACGAAUGUUGGGGUCGCAGGUUCGAGCCCUGCCGGGUGCGCCA